UACGUAGGUGACUAGCGUUGUCCGGAUUUACUGGGCGUAAAGAGCGCGCAGGCGGUCGUUCAAGUCGAGUGUGAAAGCCCCCGGCUCAACUGGGGAGGGUCAUUCGAUACUGAUCGACUCGAAGGCAGGAGAGGGAAGUGGAAUUCCCGGUGUAGUGGUGAAAUGCGCAGAUAUCAGGAGGAACACCGGUGGCGAAGGCGGUUCUCUGGGCAUUACCUGACGCUGAGGAGCGAAAGUGUGGGGAGCGAACAGG
rnacentral:rRNA from 1 species